AAAAGUUUAAGAAUCUAUAUGCUUUUUUGAUAGGGCCAGAACUAGGAUUGAAUAUGAGGUGCAUGGGACUAUGAUCCGAACCAAUUUUGGACAAAUGAUUGACUUCUAAACCUGGCCAAAACUGUUGAAGCUCAAGGUUUCCCAAACAUCUGUCAAGUUUUUAAAAAUACAAUCUUCCUCAGCUCUCCCAUUCCACCAUGUGAAAAUGCGCCCAAACAUCUGUCAAGUCUUUUAAAAAUACAAUCUUCCUCAACUCUCCCAUUCCACCAUGUGAAAAUGCUACCCUUGAAACCAAGAUAAAAAAGAUUACAUGAGUUGAAGCAGUGUCUAAAAUCAUCAGUCUCAUUAAUAUGCA
rnacentral:lncRNA from 1 species